rnacentral:rRNA from 1 species
CAGCCGCGAUAAUACGUAGGCAGCGAGCGUUCUUCGGAUUUACUGGGCGUAAAGGGUGUAUAGGCGGUUCUAUAAGUUUGGUGUGAAAUCUCCCGUCUCCACCGGGAGGGUGGUGCAUACACUGGGGGACUGGAUUGCGGGAUGGGAGAGUAGUAUUCGUGGUAUACGCGGUGAUAUGCGUAGAUAUCAGGAGGCAUACCGGUGGUACAGACGUCUCUGUGCACCACCACUGACUGUGAGACACGAAAGCGUGGAUAGCACACAGGAUUAGAUACUGUGAUAGUCCACGCCCUACACGAUGCAUAUGUGGUGUAGUUCAUUCAGUUGAUCUGUGCCGGAGCUAACGCGUUAA